rnacentral:sRNA from 1 species
UGACGUAACCGAAAAUGGAAUGCAAUGC